GUGACAGCUUUAACAACACCUGUCACUCUUGUCAAAAGGAACAUAACGUGAGAUGCAGUUGACUUACCAAUUAGCCUCAUCAGUGACGCAAUAACGAGCUGAUUUGCAUUGUCGUUUCUAUAAUGUAGCAGUGACAGAGGAAAAUCAUAACACAAUCAUUUAGCCUGCAGGAGAGCACUACAUAUACAAUUAACGAGUUCAACGAUGUCUCUAAUAGUCACGUUGCUUGUGGUGACAUUGGUCGCUCAGUGUUUGGGAGAACCACAGAGGAGGAACUGGUCUCCUCAGGCCAUCUUAUACCUAAAAGGAGCACAAGGACAUCGCUCAGUGUUGAAGCGCAGCAGCAGAGGGG